CCCUUCCCCUCCCUUCUCCUCUACCCAGCGUUGCAUCUUCUCCUCUUCUUCUCCGGAUCCUGCCGGAUCCUCCCGCAUGCCGGCUUCUCCUCGAAGAGAAGGGUCACAUGGUUCAGCCCCGGCGAAAUUGGGCUUGGCCAUGCUGCUGCUGGAGGGAAAGCGGUCCGCCGGCGUUUCUCACCAUGCCUCAUGAGUAUGACCGCCUCCACCUCUGCCGCCCGCUUGAGUGUUCAAGGCAAGGUGGACGUGGUGCCUGUGGAAGAGGAGAACUCGUGAACAACUUCCAGUUCAUGGAAAAAACGCUUGCACAUAUGAGUUCUUUCUUCCUCUUCCUCAUUUUUCUAUUUUGGCCUACAUUUUUUUCAUGAGUUUUUAGGGGCAUAUUUUGGGCUUUAGAUUGAUUUGAUAGUGUGCGUGCUGUUGCUACUAGGCGACCCUUGGACCAGUUCGAUGUCUGUGCCCAAUAUUAAUAUUCUCAGUUAGCUUCGUUGGUUAAUUCGUUCUGGAUCUCCGGUACAAAUUUGUUGAUGGUGGAAUGGACGGUAGUUUAUUAUGGUGCGCCUAUUUGUGCCAUUGGAAUUAAUUAUUGUGUGUUCAAGCUCUUGUUUGUUCUGCUUUAAUACGAUGCUAACAUGAAUUAUUCUUUUAAUUUUUGUUCAGUGACGUUCUUCGAUAAAAGAUUUGGUUCAACUUAGUAUUAUUUCUGUUACCAACUUCUUUUCAUGAAAGCCAUUCAUUUUGGCAAGGCCCCAUCACACCUGGAAAUUAUAUUGGUUGCGUGGGAGAAAUUGAAGUUACAGGCCAUAAUUCGCAUGGCUAAGAUGCCCUACAACAGUCUAGAGCUCGGUCGGAUGGAGCAGUUGGGGAGGAGUGGCGGAUGCGCGGGGCAUCGCCGGCCAGAGAGGAUGGGAGGAGCAUAUGCCAGCGAGGGAGGCGGCUCGGCUUGGACCAGCCAUGGUGCCGGCGCUGCUAACUCCCACUAACUCCCACGGGCCUCUUAUUCCCCAUCUCUUCUGGAAGUGAUGAAUCAAGCAAGGAGGAAGGGCGUAGUGUUGGAUAUUUGACCAGGCGAUAUAUAUGGAUGCCUAUGUUCUGAAUAAACAAUAUUUACUUGAACCUAUAUGGUCUGAAAAAAGUUUACACUGCCAAUAUUUUUCCGUGACCUGCCAAGGUAUGAACUAAAACAUCAAUAUCACUCGAACCUAAUCAUGUCAGGGUCUAAAUUAUUGCCUAUCUGCCAAUAUAAUAGCAUGCUAGAUGUUCUUAGAUUCAAUCCAAAAAAGCUUUGUUUGUGUUCCUGUCAAUUUUAGACGUGCAGGUAGCUUGAUAACUUGCUUUUCUUUUUGUUCAGUACAUAUAUACAGUUACACCAUAAGCUCAUCAAUUUGCUCUGAUUAAAUUAGCAAAGCUGAAGCAUGUAAGGAUUCACGUGAGUGAAAGUUCACUUUCUUUCAGGAGAAAAGAACUUUUAGUUAAUACCAGUCGAAUUUGGUAAGGCCAAUAAUUAUAUCCUUUCAUAAUCAUCAGGUUUGCUACACUUAGUCAUAAUAAAGUAUUCUAUUUUUUCUUUUUCACAGUGGCAUUGCAAUGGAUAUUGUUCUUUUACUAGCAGUGUGCUGAGUGUGCACGCAAAGUACAGGUCAUUUUGAGUGGCAAGGGUUGAGAAUUACCAUAAUGUUAAUAUGUUGAAGAACCUUAUAAAAUAUAUAAUUAUAUAUUUGGCACUUUUUAUACUGAUUCAAGUGAAAAAUGUCAUAAUUCUAACAGAUAUUUGCAUCUGCACCAAGUGCGGCAUGCAGUCAUCCUCAUCCUGUCCUGAACGUACCAUGUACUCUGUAUUGAGAAAAGACUAGGGAGUUAAGAAUACCAUGUGGCACCGGAGCAGCCUAAGGGCCAUUAGUUGGGAAUAAGAUGCACUGGAUAUCUGAGUUUAAGUGGUAGCUUCGCACUUUGCAGUAUGGUGAUGUCACUCUUGGUGUGAUGGUCACUAAUCGAGCGUGUCAACUACUCAUAAAAUAGCUCUAUCCAGCAAAUUUUCUUUAGAUUUUGCUUUAUUCUAUUGAUCAGAUUUGCCAAGUCAUUUUUCCUUCGAGGUAUUUAGCAUUGCCAAAUUUAUAUAUUUACCUAAAUUUAAUCGUGACCCGAUUUGCUCUGGUCAAUACAUGCAUGAUGCCUUUUCUUUUCUAUAAAGUGGAUGCAGGGUUAUUUUACCUUUCAGACUCUGAGUUAGAUUAGCCGCACCUGUGUAAACGUUUGAUAGAUGAGCUGUGUCAGGUUGUAGGUACUGCUAAGCACAAAGCUAUAAUUGGAUAUAAUAUUGGAUUUACAAUUAUUUUAUGCAAAAUAUUUCUGGUUAGUUGUAAAAUUCAUAAUAUUCCAGUAUAUUUCAAAUUUUGUUUCAUAGAGAAGCUCCAUCAUUGGAACCAGUAUAGGUCUGCUGAUAAAACCCUUUUGUAUGAUCAUGGUUUUUAGGAAUUGAUAUUCCAAUCAAUCUACUGAUGCGGUAUUUGUGGGAGAUGAAGAGUAGCGACGGGUUCAAUCUAGGGGCCGUCUUUCUCGAGCUACAUUCAUGCUUCACAGCAGUUCACCUUCCCACAAUUGCUCAGAUUCCAAAAUAGGACUAACUUCUGCUUAUUUUCUAAUCUAUUCAUUGUACCUCAAGGUGAACCAAUCUAUCCCACGAGAGCAUAUUUUUCUUAAUUCUACAAUAGAGGAUGCCGUGGUUUUCGUGUUUUGCUUUAAUGUGGGCUGGUUAGGAACUACAGUAAAUGUUUUUCCUGAAAGCUAAUGCUGUUGCACAAUUUCUUUUUGACCGUUUCAUUUUUAUUGUGAGAAAAAUGAUGCUUUUCAUAAAUUGUGCUAAUGUGAACAUGAGUUGUGCGUGUUGAUCUAAAUGAAUUGGAAAAAUGGUCUGGUUGCGGAACAUUUGGUACACAAUUUUUUUAUUCAAGAUGGAACAAGUUUGUUAUCGAUAUUCCUGUAAAUGGUUUGUAUAGUUUGUUUUGUUAUUAAGCAAACAUAUGGUUGUAACACUACUUUUGUUAUCUCACUUCGAGGAAUUCUUUUUGCUGAGAACACUACUUUUCUCCAAUACCCCAAUGAUUUCAUUCCCCAGUACCCUGAGGCCUUGGAUCAGGUUUUCUUCCGAAAAGAUAUUGCUACAGAUUGCUACAGGGUUGAAUGUCUGAUCGACGAUCCUUGUUGCUGAUUUAAGUACUGAUUUCAUCAUCAUAUGACUACAAUAAAGAAGUUGUGUGUAUAAAUAUUACUAACUGCUGAUACUUUGCAUCAGUGAUUUCAAUUC